UGGGGAAUCUUGGACAAUGGGCGCAAGCCUGAUCCAGCCAUGCCGCGUGAGUGAAGAAGGCCUUAGGGUUGUAAAACUCUUUCACCCGUGAAGAUGAUGACGGUAGCGGGAGAAGAAGCCCCGGCUAACUCCGUGCCAGCAGCCGCGGUAAUACGGAGGGGGCAAGCGUUGUUCGGAUUUACUGGGCGUAAAGCGCGCGCAGGUGGCCCGUUAAGUUGGCUGUGAAAUCCCCUGGCUCAACCAGGGAAGUGCAGUCGAUACUGGCGGGCUCGAGUCCCGGAGAGGGUGGUAGAAUUCCCAGUGUAGAGGUGAAAUUCGUAGAUAUUGGGAGGAAUACCGGUGGCGAAGGCGACCGCCUGGACGGGUACUGACACUGAGGCGCGAAAGCGUGGGGAGCAAACAGGAUUAGAUACCCCUGUAGUCC
rnacentral:rRNA from 1 species